rnacentral:rRNA from 1 species
UACAGAGGGUGCGAGCGUUAAUCGGAAUUACUGGGCGUAAAGCGUGCGUAGACGGUUAUGUAAGUUAGGUGUGAAAGCCCCGGGCUCAACCUGGGAAUUGCAUUUAAGACUGCAUAGCUAGGGUGCGGAAGAGGGAAGCGGAAUUUACGGUGUAGCGGUGAAAUGCGUAGAUAUCGUAAGGAAGACCAGUGGCGAAGGCGGGUCUCUGGACAGUUCCUGACGCUGAGGCACGAAGGUCAGGGGAGCAAACGGG